rnacentral:misc_RNA from 1 species
CACAAAUUAAAAUAUGAAGGCUUCGGCUGGAUUAUUUUUAUCACCCUUGUCUUUUGCGCACUUGUUGUUUCCUGGGCGGGUUCGCCCGCCACCAGGACCACACCCAUAAAACCUUUUUUUUAUGCCAGGUUGCAAUCAGCGUCAGUAUAACAAAAUGUAAAUCAUUUA